rnacentral:rRNA from 1 species
GACGAACGCUGGCGGCGUGCUCAACACAUGCAAGUCGAGCGGUAAGGCUCCUUCGGGAGUACACGAGCGGCGAACGGGUGAGUAACACGUGAGCAAUCUGCCCUUCUCAUCGGAAUAACCAUUGGAAACGAUGGCUAAUGCCGAAUACGACUUCAUUUCGCAUGUCAGGAAGUGGAAAGCUCCGGCGGAGAAGGAUGAGCUCGCGGCCUAUCAGCUUGUUGGCGGGGUAACGGCCCACCAAGGCAACGACGGGUAGCCGGCCUGAGAGGGUGACCGGCCACACGGGGACUGAGACACGGCCCAGACUCCUACGGGGGGCAGCAGUGGGGAAUAUUGGACAAUAGGCGAAAGCCUGAUUCAGCAACGCCGCGUGAGGGAUGACGGCCUUCGGGUUGUAAACCUCUUUCAGCAGGGACGAAGCGAAAGUGACGGUACCCGCAGAAGAAGGACCGGCCAACUACGUGCCAGCAGCCGCCGUAA